rnacentral:rRNA from 1 species
AUUGAACGCUGGCGGCAUGCCUUACACAUGCAAGUCGAACGGCAGCACGGGUGCUUGCACCUGGUGGCGAGUGGCGAACGGGUGAGUAAUACAUCGGAACGUACCUUAUCGUGGGGGAUAACGCAGCGAAAGCUGUGCUAAUACCGCAUACGCCCUGAGGGGGAAAGCGGGGGAUCGCAAGACCUCGCGCGAUUAGAGCGGCCGAUGCCUGAUUAGCUAGUUGGUGGGGUAAAAGCCCACCAAGGCGACGAUCAGUAGCUGGUCUGAGAGGACGAUCAGCCAAACUGGGACUGAGACACGGCCCAGACUCCUACGGGAGGCAGCAGUGGGGAAUUUUGGACAAUGGGGGCAACCCUGAUCCAGCAAUGCCGCGUGAGUGAAGAAGGCCUUCGGGUUGUAAAGCUCUUUUGUCAGGGAAGAAACACCGGCUCUAACACAGUCCGGGAAUGACGGUACCUGAAGAAUAAGCACCGGUUAACUACGUGCCAGCCGCCGCAGUAA